rnacentral:rRNA from 1 species
AUGAACGCCGGCGGUGUGCCUAAUACAUGCAAGUCGAACGCGUUGGCCCAAUUGAUUGAUGGUGCUUGCACCUGAUUGAUUUUGGUCGCCAACGAGUGGCGGACGGGUGAGUAACACGUAGGUAACCUGCCCAGAAGCGGGGGACAACAUUUGGAAACAGAUGCUAAUACCGCAUAACAGCGUUGUUCGCAUGAACAACGCUUAAAAGAUGGCUUCUCGCUAUCACUUCUGGAUGGACCUGCGGUGCAUUAGCUUGUUGGUGGAGUAACGGCCUACCAAGGCGAUGAUGCAUAGCCGAGUUGAGAGACUGAUCGGCCACAAUGGGACUGAGACACGGCCCAUACUCCUACGGGAGGCAGCAGUAGGGAAUCUUCCACAAUGGGCGCAAGCCUGAUGGAGCAACACCGCGUGAGUGAAGAAGGGUUUCGGCUCGUAAAGCUCUGUUGUUAAAGAAGAACACGUAUGAGAGUAACUGUUCAUACGUUGACGGUAUUUAACCAGAAAGUCACGGCUAACUACGUGCCAGCAGCCGCGGUAAUACGUAGGUGGCAAGCGUUAUCCGGAUUUAUUGGGCGUAAAGAGAGUGCAGGCGGUUUUCUAAGUCUGAUGUGAAAGCCUUCGGCUUAACCGGAGAAGUGCAUCGGAAACUGGAUAACUUGAGUGCAGAAGAGGGUAGUGGAACUCCAUGUGUAGCGGUGGAAUGCGUAGAUAUAUGGAAGAACACCAGUGGCGAAGGCGGCUACCUGGUCUGCAACUGACGCUGAGACUCGAAAGCAUGGGUAGCGAACAGGAUUAGAUACCCUGGUAGUCCAUGCCGUAAACGAUGAGUGCUAGGUGUUGGAGGGUUUCCGCCCUUCAGUGCCGGAGCUAACGCAUUAAGCACUCCGCCUGGGGAGUACGACCGCAAGGUUGAAACUCAAAGGAAUUGACGGGGGCCCGCACAAGCGGUGGAGCAUGUGGUUUAAUUCGAAGCUACGCGAAGAACCUUACCAGGUCUUGACAUCUUGCGCCAACCCUAGAGAUAGGGCGUUUCCUUCGGGAACGCAAUGACAGGUGGUGCAUGGUCGUCGUCAGCUCGUGUCGUGAGAUGUUGGGUUAAGUCCCGCAACGAGCGCAACCCUUGUUACUAGUUGCCAGCAUUAAGUUGGGCACUCUAGUGAGACUGCCGGUGACAAACCGGAGGAAGGUGGGGACGACGUCAGAUCAUCAUGCCCCUUAUGACCUGGGCUACACACGUGCUACAAUGGACGGUACAACGAGUCGCGAACUCGCGAGGGCAAGCAAAUCUCUUAAAACCGUUCUCAGUUCGGACUGCAGGCUGCAACUCGCCUGCACGAAGUCGGAAUCGCUAGUAAUCGCGGAUCAGCAUGCCGCGGUGAAUACGUUCCCGGGCCUUGUACACACCGCCCGUCACACCAUGAGAGCCGGGGGGACCCGAAGUCGGUAGUCUAACCGCAAGGAGGACGCCGCCGAAGGUAAAACUGGUGAUUGGGGUG